GUGCAUAAUCAUUGAUUCAGGUAUAUCCAUAAUGGGAUCUUUUGAAAACUAUAAAAAUUAUUCUUAAAGUACUUGAGAUGUACUAGAGGAAUAGUGAAUUAGGAGAGCUCCAAAUAGUAAACUAUGUUUGACUCAGUUAAAUGCUGUUAGUAAAGAUUGCUAAGAAAAACUAUCUGAUAAAAGGGUUCAUCACUGAGUUGGAUGUGGUCUCACCAAAAACCCACGCACAUCC
rnacentral:lncRNA from 1 species